rnacentral:rRNA from 1 species
UACGUAGGGUGCAAGCGUUAAUCGGAAUUACUGGGCGUAAAGCGUGCGUAGGCGGCUAUGUAAGACAGAUGUGAAAUCCCUGGGCUUAACCUAGGAACUGCAUUUGUGACUGCAUUGCUGGAGUGUGGUAGAGGGAGAUGGAAUUCCGCAUGUAGCAGUGAAAUGCGUAGAUAUGCGGAGGAACACCAAUGGCGAAGGCAAUCUCCUGGACCUGCACUGACGCUCAUGCACGAAAGCGUGGGAGCAAACAGG